UUGAGAUUUUCGUGAUCAUCGAAUCUUUGAACGCACCUUGCGCUCCUCGGUAUUCCGAGGAGCAUGCCUGUUUGAGUGUCAU
rnacentral:rRNA from 1 species